UGGGGAAUAUUGCGCAAUGGGCGAAAGCCUGACGCAGCGACGCCUCGUGAGGGAUGAAGGUUCUCGGAUCGUAAAUCUCUGUCAGGGGGGAAGAAACCCCCUCGUGUGAAUAAUGCGAGGGCUUGACGGUACCCCCAAAGGAAGCACCGGCUAACUCCGUGCCAGCAGCCGCGGUAAUACGGAGGGUGCAAGCGUUAAUCGGAAUCACUGGGCGUAAAGCGCACGUAGGCGGCUUGGUAAGUCAGGGGUGAAAUCCCACAGCCCAACUGUGGAACUGCCUUUGAUACUGCCAGGCUUGAGUACCGGAGAGGGUGGCGGAAUUCCAGGUGUAGGAGUGAAAUCCGUAGAUAUCUGGAGGAACACCGGUGGCGAAGGCGGCCACCUGGACGGUAACUGACGCUGAGGUGCGAAAGCGUGGGUAGCAAACAGG
rnacentral:rRNA from 1 species